CCUACGGGUGGCAGCAGUGGGGAAUCUUGCCCAAUGGGCGAAAGCCUGAGGCAGCGACGCCGCGUGAGGGAGGAAGGCCUUCGGGUUGUAAACCUCUUUCAGGAGGGACGAAGCUACUCGGGUGAAUAGCCCAGAGGGUGACGGUACCUCCAGAAGAAGCCCCGGCUAACUACGUGCCAGCAGCCGCGGUAAUACGUAGGGGGCAAGCGUUGUCCGGAUUUACUGGGCGUAAAGCGCGUGUAGGCGGCCACGCAGGUCCGUUGUGAAAACUGGAGGCUUAACCUCCAGACGUCGACGGAAACCGUGUGGCUAGAGUCCGGAAGAGGAGAGUGGAAUUCCUGGUGUAGCGGUGAAAUGCGCAGAUAUCAGGAAGAACACCAAUGGCGAAGGCAGCUCUCUGGGACGGUACUGACGCUGAGACGCGAAAGCGUGGGGAGCGA
rnacentral:rRNA from 1 species